GAUGAACGCUGGCGGCGUGCCUAAUACAUGCAAGUCGAGCGAACAGACGAGGAGCUUGCUCCUCUGACGUUAGCGGCGGACGGGUGAGUAACACGUGGAUAACCUACCUAUAAGACUGGGAUAACUUCGGGAAACCGGAGCUAAUACCGGAUAAUAUAUUGAACCGCAUGGUUCAAUAGUGAAAGACGGUUUUGCUGUCACUUAUAGAUGGAUCCGCGCCGCAUUAGCUAGUUGGUAAGGUAACGGCUUACCGAGGCAACGAUGCGUAGCCGACCUGAGAGGGGGAUCGGCCAAACUGGAACUGAGACACGGUCCAGACUCCUACGGGAGGCAGCAGUAGGGAAUCUUCCGCAAUGGGCGAAAGCCUGACGGAGCAACGCCGCGUGAGUGAUGAAGGUCUUCGGAUCGUAAAACUCUGUUAUUAGGGAAGAACAAAUGUGUAAGUAACUAUGCACGUCUUGACGGUACCUAAUCAGAAAGCCACGGCUAACUACGUGCCAGCCGCCGCCGUAA
rnacentral:rRNA from 1 species